AUUGUUUCGAACGACAGCUUUCUUAUUUAGUUGAGAGAGCUGGCGGAUCGGUAUUGAGGGUCUUGCCAUUUUCCACGGUGGCUCCCUCGAAAUGCAUUAGCGCAUCCAUUCGAUAGGCAAGACGGACGAAAGCUCGUUAUUUCGCCCACGUCUUUCCCUGCCGGGUUUUGAUAAUGUCAGGACUUCGGAGAGGAAAGGCGCUGGGUCGAGGAGCUGGACGCGACGUUUUGCUGGUUGGAGUGCUUCUGAACCCCGCCCAUGCCUCCUUCUCCGGAAGAGGAAGGGAUUUAAUUUCAAUU
rnacentral:misc_RNA from 1 species